UCAGGAUGAACGCUGGCGGCGUGCUUAACACAUGCAAGUCGAACGGACAGAGAAGAUUUCGGUUUUCUUUGUUAGUGGCGGACGGGUGAGUAACGCGUGGGCAACCUACCUUAUACAGGGGGAUAACAGUUAGAAAUGACUGUUAAUACCGCAUAAGCGCCCGAGAUCGCAUGAUCUUGAGUGAAAAACUCCGGUGGUAUAAGAUGGGCCCGCGUCUGAUUAGCUAGUUGGUAAGGUAACGGCUUACCAAGGCAACGAUCAGUAGCCGACCUGAGAGGGUGAUCGGCCACAUUGGGACUGAGACACGGCCCAAACUCCUACGGGAGGCAGCAGUGGGGAAUAUUGCACAAUGGGGGAAACCCUGAUGCAGCGACGCCGCGUGACUGAAGAAGUAUUUCGGUAUGUAAAGGUCUAUCAGCAAGGAAGAAAAAAGACGGUA
rnacentral:rRNA from 1 species